GUCGAGCGGUAGCACAAGAGAGCUUGCUCUCUGGGUGACGAGCGGCGGACGGGUGAGUAAUGUCUGGGAAACUGCCUGAUGGAGGGGGAUAACUACUGGAAACGGUAGCUAAUACCGCAUGACGUCUUCGGACCAAAGUGGGGGACCUUCGGGCCUCACGCCAUCAGAUGUGCCCAGAUGGGAUUAGCUAGUAGGUGGGGUAAUGGCUCACCUAGGCGACGAUCUCUAGCUGGUCUGAGAGGAUGACCAGCCACACUGGAACUGAGACACGGUCCAGACUCCUACGGGAGGCAGCAGUGGGGAAUAUUGCACAAUGGGCGCAAGCCUGAUGCAGCCAUGCCGCGUGUAUGAAGAAGGCCUUCGGGUUGUAAAGUACUUUCAGCGAGGAGGAAGGCAUUAAGGUUAAUAACCUUAGUGAUUGACGUUACUCGCAGAAGAAGCACCGGCUAACUCCGUGCCAGCAGCCGCGGUAAUACGGAGGGUGCAAGCGUUAAUCGGAAUUACUGGGCGUAAAGCGCACGCAGGCGGUUUGUUAAGUCAGAUGUGAAAUCCCCGAGCUUAACUUGGGAACUGCAUUUGA
rnacentral:rRNA from 1 species